UUAAGGUAUAGAACUAUUAUCAGCAGAUUGUCCUUAAGUAAAGGUAUAGAACUAUUAUCGUCAAAAUGUCCAUAAGUAAAGGUAUAGAACUAUUAUCGUCAAAUGUCCUUAAGUAAAGGUAUAGAUCUAUUGACAGCAAAAUGUCCUUAAGUAAAGGUAUAGAACUAUUGUCAGCAAAAUGUCCUUAAGUAAAGGUAUAGAACUAUUAUCAGCAAAAUGUCCUUAAGUAAAGGUAUAGAACUAUUAUCUGCAAAAUGUCCAUAAGUAAAGGUAUAGAACUAUUAUCGUCAAAAUGUCCUUAAGUAAAGGUAUAGAUCUAUUGACAGCAAAAUGUCCUUAAGUAAAGGUAUAGAACUAUUGUCAGCAAAAUGUCCUUAAGUAAAGGUAUAGAACUAUUAUCGGCAAAAUGUCCGUAUCUGUAAGGUGUACUCGAAGUACCUGAAGUAAAAGUACUCAGCAUGCAAAAUGGCCCCUUUCAGUGUUACAUUUUUACAUUAUCGGAUCAUUAUAAUUGAUGAGGUGGAGCUUUAAAGAAGUGCUGGGUGGUAUACUGCUUUAACCGAUACCAAUGCAUAGCUAAAACAACAGCUGUAACUCUUAAAUAGACAUCAAACAGCGCUACGUUCACAUGUAGCCUUGUUAAAGAGUAAUAUGAAAAAGCAAGCGGCAGUUGUUAGGGUAUAAAACCAACAAUCUGACCUGAUAGUCAAUUACUCACCAUGUUAUGUUGAAUUCAUGAAGAAAACCUUGUUUUACUAGCAUGCCUCUAGAAUCCAAGAACUGAGAAACUUCUUGAUGAGUUGAAGUACAACAGCAAAACUGUAUCAAAACAUUAGUUCACAAACUCUCACACAACUCCUGCAGUAUGAUCUCAGUCUCAUCUACCCAGUUGUGUGCUCACUACUUCUCAAACAAAUGCAUUUCUGCAUAAUCUUACUAUUUAAAAUACUUCUGUAUUAACAGCGUCACGCAUGGACGAGUAGUGCGCCUGGCCAAGCAUGUGCGUUUGAGCUCUUCGAGCGAGGAUGUUUUGCUGUUGCUAAAUGCACCCAGUUCAUCAAGAAGUUUCUCCGUUUUGGAUUCUUUGUUCACCACAGAGGCAUGCAAGAAAGUUUUCUUCAUGAAUUCAAAGUAACACAGAGUGAGUGAUUGAUACAAAUGAUUAUUUUGUGGGUGAACUGUUCCUUUAAUCUAGAAUAAUGCAACAUGUUUGUAUGUAGAAUCCUAAUCUGAAAAGUAACAAAUACCUUCAGUGUAUCUGGGGAAUAAAAAAGUGGAGUCUCCCUCGGAAUUGUAGUGCAACAGAAUUAUAAAGUAGCAUUAAAUGGAAAUAACACUCAAUAGUAAAGUAUAAGUACCUCAAAAUUAUAUUUGUAAACUCUGUGACAAUAUAAGGAAGCAAAUAAAUUCUGGCCCACAAAGCAUUAGCACGCAUUCAGUGCACUCUUACAAAAUCACAAUAACAU